UAAAAUAUUUAUUAGGAAAUGUAUUUUCAAGAAAAUAGAAUCGGAAAUUAAAAGGAAUCUCGGAAGAAUUGAGGCCUCGCCGGAUUGAUUGAGCUCCGACUCGAUCUUUCCCGUGCAGACUGCCGAACAGUAAAGACGAGAAAAACUCCAAAGUGAAUUUUAAAAGUGAUUUAAACCUAAUUAAAAGUAAAUCUAUUUUCACAGUUUUCUAAAGUGGUUAAAAUUGCCCUAAAAGUCGUGAGUCGUGUUUCCAAGGAAUUCCUUAAACAGGAAGUGAGUCGUGAGUCGGAAUAAACGCUUUAUUACCAAAGAAUUGUAUAAAAAAAAA